rnacentral:piRNA from 1 species
UAGGUGACAGAGGCAACUCAGAAC